rnacentral:rRNA from 1 species
CUAUACAUGACUCUGUGCAUAUCAAUAAGCGGAGGAAAAGAAACUAACAAGGAUUCCCCUAGUAACGGCGAGUGAAGCGGGAAGAGCUCAAAUUUGAAAUCUUAAAGGGUUUCCCUUUACGAAUUGUAGUUUAAAGAAGUGUUUUCUGUUGAGGUUUUGGUAAAAGUUCUUUGGAAUAGGACAUCAUAGAGGGUGAGAAUCCCGUAUUUGACCUUUACUUUCAACUUUGUGAUACACUUUCAAAGAGUCGGAUUGUUUGGGAAUGCAGUCCAAAAUGGGUGGUAAAUUUCAUCUAAAGCUAAAUAUUGGCGAGAGACCGAUAGCGAACAAGUACCGUGAGGGAAAGAUGAAAAGAACUUUGAAAAGAGAGUUAAACAGUACGUGAAAUUGUCAAAAGGGAAGCGUUUGACACCAGUGUUGUUUUUCUGAAAAUCAAUUAAAGAACUGUUUAUGCUAAGUUGUUUAGACUUUAUCAGCUAACUGUUUAGUUUUGAGCUUUUCUUUAAUGCACUUUUCAGUUAACAAGUCAACAUCAAUUUCUUUUGCUGUAAAAAAGCUUGAGGAAGGUGGCUUGAGAUUCGUCUUAGGUGUUUAUAGCCUCUUGCCUAUGCAGUCGGAGAGAUUGAGGUCUGCAGCGUAGAUCCUUCGGGGCUAAAUGCAUUUGUGCUAAGUUAUAGCAUUUUAUAGACAACUUGUUGACUAUGAUUUGUCUUGUAGCUUACUCGCUUAUGUUAUUUUACCUACGCUUAGGAUGUUGACAGCAGUAUAGACUGU